CUCCUUGAGAGUCCUGAAGGAACGUUGAAGACGACGACGUUGAUAGGUCGGGUGUGUAAGCGUAGCGAUACGUUGAGCUAACCGAUACUAAUGAACCGUGAGGCUUAACCUUACAACGCCAAAGC
rnacentral:rRNA from 1 species